UACUCUCUCGUUGCCGAAGUUCUCUUUUCGUUACAGUUUCAUUAGUCUGCUGCUAUAUAUAUCUUGCUUUUGUUUCUCUCUACAUUUUAGUUUUCAUUAUCAUAUCAAAUGGCUGAAAUGAAAGAUUGCCACCACCACGUAGUGGAAAUUCCGGUUGACGAAGAGCACCAGCAGAAGCUCUCGUCCGCCAUGACCAUCAUAUCCGCAAUCCAGCACCACCCAUUGACGGAAAUCUCCGAGAGCCCCGGCCAUUUGCUUCUUCUCAAGCUCUGGCGAAGAGAAGAAGACCUCUUCGGCCGGCGGAUCGCUCGGAGAGAGACCCGAAUGGAUCUCAUCCGCCGUGAAAUCUUUCAGCUCUGUUGCUUCUUCUUGAUAUUUCAUGCCUUUUUCCUGACCAUCUUGUUCACUUCUUCGGUUAGCUCCGAGGAGGGGACGUGCCAGAAGUGGUGGAUUCCAAGCAUUCUUUCGGUUUCGACUUCUGUCGUGUUUGUGGUACUUGUGCAGGUGAGUCUGUGGAGGUACUGGAAGGUGUGGGGACAGUUGCAGAGGGAGAAGAGUGAGAAUCGAGCUCUGGUGAGGUGCAUUCAGGAGUUGAGGAUGAAGGGAGCGAGCUUUGAUCUAUCCAAGGAGCCGCAGAGCGGGAAGAGGAUGAAGAGCUCGAGUGUCGAGAUCAAGUGGAAGCCCAUCACUUGGGGCUCGCAGAACUUGAUCACCAUCUGCCUGGUUUGCUUUGCAGGUUUGGUGUUUCCUGCCUCCAAAUUGAUGCUUUGCAGCGGCUUCUGAGCUUGGAGAGACUCCUGGUUUAUUAUCACCUUUCACAAGAUUGAUGAUCUGCAGCGACUUGUUAGCUCGAGGAGUUUCCCGUUGAUGAUCUUUCUCGAGGCUGAAAAUUGUGUUGUAACUGGGAAGGG